rnacentral:rRNA from 1 species
GACGAACGCUGGCGGCGUGCUUAACACAUGCAAGUCGAGCGGUAAGGCCCCUUCGGGGUACGACGAGCGGCGAACGGGUGAGUAACACGUGGGUGACCUGCCCUCAGCUCUGGGAUAAGCCUGGGAAACUGGGUCUAAUACUGGAUAUGACUCCACGGUGCAUGUCGUGGGGUGGAAAGCCUUGUGCGGCUGAGGAUGGGCCCGCGGCCUAUCAGCUUGUUGGUGGGGUGANGGCCUACCAAGGCGACGACGGGUAGCCGGCCUGAGAGGGCGACCGGCCACACUGGGACUGAGACACGGCCCAGACUCCUACGGGAGGCAGCAGUGGGGAAUCUUGCGCAAUGGGCGAAAGCCUGACGCAGCGACGCCGCGUGAGGGAUGACGGCCU